AUGGGACAGAUCCAGUGGAAGCUGCCGGUGGUCGCCUCUUUGGAGGCGUCGAGGACUACCGCAUCCUCGAUUGUCUAUUCUUUUGAUCUCUGUUCACGCAGCAGAACUGGUAGGGGGACAUCCUCAACUGCGACGAGGAGAACAGCAAGAUCGAACGCAAGGUUCUUGAUCCACACUUUUCGCCACAACCUGGAGUGGAGGAUGGUUGAAAACAUGACUGUUUGUGGUUCCAUUGCAGAGAAACAGGCACAAAUUUUUACAGAGGAGUGCAAGCCUUUUCCUGAAGAUGUCCAAAUACAAUCAAUUUACCCCUGUGCAAGUGCAUCCAAUUUGAUGCUUUUGUCUUACAAGGUGCAGAUUUCUAGCAACCAUAUAAUUACGAAAUGGUCUGAUAUAGCAGAACUAGAGUUGAAGCUCUCUUGA
rnacentral:rRNA from 1 species